CAGUUUUCCUUAGGAUUAUGGUUCUCAUUGAGUUGUCAAGUUAAAUGAGACUUGACCAGAUAAUCUCUGUGGAAUGAUCCUCCUCACCCCGUCUUUAAUUAAUUAUUGUUUUUCCUUUUAGUUCUUAACUUCAAUUUUCAAUGAUUUUUAGGCAUAUGGCCUAUAUUAUGGAUACAAAUGAAGAAGAGAGGGUGAAGGGAAUAACAGUUGAAGUUGGAAGAGCACCUUUUGAAAUAGAGACGACGAGAUUUACAAUUCUUGAUGCCCUGGUUAGUAGUAAACAUUCAUUGACCGAAGCAAUUGUUUGAUAUGCUAAAAAGUUUUCGAGAGCAUGAGAAGAACUCUAAGUGGACAGAAAUUCGAGGAUUUGAAUCCAUAACCAGCCAAGGUGUCAAAGCUUUUAACUGAAAUGAAUUAGGAAAUUUAUAAUUUGAAACAAGAGCCUGAUGUUGGAUCAAGACAGAUCUAUUCCAGUUGAUGAUGAAGUGUUAGCAGAAACAGAAUAAUUGGCACAUACUGCAGAUGCUCGUGAUCCCGAAAAAUGCCACAAUUUAUCUAGUGUAAAUAUUUGUUGAUCAAUUUUUUUGUUUUUACAUUGUUGAAUGCAUUCUUUUAUUUUUUAUAAUUCAUUUUUUUUACCAUGGGAAGACAGAGAAGUGGAUGUGUUGAGUUUGAAUAUUGUUAAGUGAAUGACAUUGUUUGAG